UUAGAGCAUUUGCUCAUCCUUCAAGAUGGCUAAUUGCAUCUGCCAAUCAAUAUCAAGAAACAGAUUACAGUGUUAAUAUAUGGAUAUAUUUCUUGGAAUAGGAUAAUAAUUCCAAAAGCUUGCUAACAGCAUGACCAAGUGUAAUUUACAAUUGGGUGCUCUGAUGGAUGGCAACAAAGAUGUAACAUCAGCAGCAAUUCAUGGACAAAGCUCAUCUCCCACCAAAUGAAAAGCUGCUACAUAUGCCACUGAUGUUUCUGCCUUUAGAAAUUAAUGGACAUGUUGGCACUAGAUAGUUCCUAUAAACCAAGAUGCAGCUGUGAAAUAAACGGGCAAGAUGAAGGCACUGAAAGUCCUUAAGGACUACUUUAAGGAGAGAAGAAAAUAGGCUGUGAAUCACUAGGAAGGAG